GAGUUUCUUUAAGCAUCGGUCAAGUUUGAAUUUUCGUGUAUAUUGCUCAGCUUACAGGUUUUAUAGUCGAAGUAUUUAGGCGAAUUGAUAUAGUCCUCUGUAAUAUAUUAUUUUAAACACCUAUACAGGCUGGCCCUAUCGGGAUCCGGUGACGGGGGGCCUGAUAGGGUGACAUCAAAACUGUGACUACACCCGUAGAAGCUUAUGUGUCGUUAUCUUCGGACAGGGGUUCGACUCCCCUC
rnacentral:tmRNA from 1 species